rnacentral:misc_RNA from 1 species
GACACCCAGAUCCUGUAAUAUCUGCAAUGAAAAUGAAACAAGUUUUAACACAAAAGAAUAUUCAUCCAAUUGAAUUUCAAUAUUACCAAGAUCAAGAAUAGUGUCUAGCAAAUUAAACAAAAGAUUCUUAUUCGGUUAAAAUAUGUCAUUUUAUAAUUUGGAAGGUCAUGAUCAACAGUUCCAUUAAGAUCACAGGACUCACAGCUAAACCUGAGGAUGCAGAAAUAUAUUAUUAUAAAAUGAAGCAAAAAGCAACUUCCUUUUGUUAUUAAUUUUGUUUUACUUCUUCUAGGUUGAUUAGAGUAAAUGGCCAUAGAGAAGUAUCAAAUUUAGUCGCUCCAAAUGCCUAGUCAAGCGUGACGAUGCUUCAAUUUGUUUUAUAUGGAGUAAAUAAAGCCAAAAGCAGAAACCCUAAUAGGAAUUACCU